rnacentral:tRNA from 1 species
GCCUGGGUAGCUCAGUGGUAGAGCUCUUGACUAGAGUUAUCAGAGGUCCUUGGUUCAAUUCCCAGUCCAGCCA